AGAAGAGAGGAAAAAACAAAAACCAAACCCUAGAGAGAGAAAAUGAAAGAAAAAGUGUGAAUUUCCAAGGAAAUUAACUGAAAAAGGUAAGAUUUUUUCUAUUAAGCUUGAGUUUUCUUAUUCCCAAGCAUUUCUCCUUAUUUUCCAUGAUUAAAUUGCAUGUUUUCAUGGCUGGUCAUAUGGGUCUAGAGAGAGAAAAUUGUUGGAUUGAUUUGAUUUUGAUAUAUGUUGGUGUUUAGUGUUAGUUUAGCAUGUU
rnacentral:lncRNA from 1 species